rnacentral:rRNA from 1 species
ACGGGUGGGUAAUACUUAGGAAUCUGCCUAUUAAUGGGGGACAACAUCUCGAAAGGGAUGCUAAUACCGCAUACGCCCUACGGGGGAAAGCAGGGGAUCACUUGUGACCUUGCGUUAAUAGAUGAGUCUAAGUCGGAUUAGCUAGUUGGUGGGGUAAAGGCCUACCAAGGCGACGAUCUGUAGCGGGUCUGAGAGGAUGAUCCGCCACACUGGGACUGAGACACGGCCCAGACUCCUACGGGAGGCAGCAGUGGGGAAUAUUGGACAAUGGGGGGAACCCUGAUCCAGCCAUGCCGCGUGUGUGAAGAAGGCCUUAUGGUUGUAAAGCACUUUAAGCGAGGAGGAGGCUCUCUUGGUUAAUACCCAAGAAGAGUGGACGUUACUCGCAGAAUAAGCACCGGCUAACUCUGUGCCAGCAGCCGCGGUAAUACAGAGGGUGCGAGCGUUAAUCGGAUUUACUGGGCGUAAAGCGUGCGUAGGCGGCUUUUUAAGUCGGAUGUGAAAUCCCCGAGCUUAACUUGGGAAUUGCAUUCGAUACUGGGGAGCUAGAGUAUGGGAGAGGAUGGUAGAAUUCCAGGUGUAGC